GACGAACGCUGGCGGCGUGCCUAAUACAUGCAAGUCGAGCGAAUCUUUAGAAGCUUGCUUCUGAAGAUUAGCGGCGGACGGGUGAGUAACACGUGGGCAACCUGCCUGUAAGACUGGGAUAACUUCGGGAAACCGGAGCUAAUACCGGAUAAUCCAUUCCCUCACAUGAGGGAAUGCUGAAAGACGGCAUCACGCUGUCACUUACAGAUGGGCCCGCGGCGCAUUAGCUAGUUGGUGAGGUAACGGCUCACCAAGGCGACGAUGCGUAGCCGAACUGAGAGGGUGAUCGGCCACACUGGGACUGAGACACGGCCCAGACUCCUACGGGAGGCAGCAGUAGGGAAUCUUCCGCAAUGGACGAAAGUCUGACGGAGCAACGCCGCGUGAGCGAAGAAGGCCUUCGGGUCGUAAAGCUCUGUUGUUAGGGAAGAACAAGUACCGGAGUAACUGCCGGCACCUUGACGGUACCUAACCAGAAAGCCACGGCUAACUACGUGCCAGCCGCCGCCGUAAUAC
rnacentral:rRNA from 1 species